rnacentral:rRNA from 1 species
GACGAACGCUGGCGGCGUGCUUAACACAUGCAAGUCGAACGGUAAGGCUCCAGCUUGCUGGGGUACACGAGCGGCGAACGGGUGAGUAACACGUGGGUGACCUGCCCUGCACUUCGGGAUAAGCCUGGGAAACUGGGUCUAAUACCGGAUAGGACCGCACCGUGAGGGUGUGGUGGAAAGUUUUUUCGGUGUGGGAUGGGCCCGCGGCCUAUCAGCUUGUUGGUGGGGUAAUGGCCUACCAAGGCGGCGACGGGUAGCCGGCCUGAGAGGGUGGACGGCCACAUUGGGACUGAGACACGGCCCAGACUCCUACGGGAGGCAGCAGUGGGGAAUAUUGCACAAUGGGCGGAAGCCUGAUGCAGCGACGCCGCGUGGGGGAUGACGGCCUUCGGGUUGUAAACUCCUUUCACCAUCGACGAAGGGUUUCUGACGGUAGAUGGAGAAGAAGCACCGGCUAACUACGUGCCAGCAGCCGCGGUAAUACGUAGGGUGCGAGCGUUGUCCGGAAUUACUGGGCGUAAAGAGCUCGUAGGUGGUUUGUCGCGUCGUCUGUGAAAUUCCGGGGCUUAACUCCGGGCGUGCAGGCGAUACGGGCAUAACUUGAGUACUGUAGGGGAGACUGGAAUUCCUGGUGUAGCGGUGAAAUGCGCAGAUAUCAGGAGGAACACCGGUGGCGAAGGCGGGUCUCUGGGCAGUAACUGACGCUGAGGAGCGAAAGCAUGGGGAGCGAACAGGAUUAGAUACCCUGGUAGUCCAUGCCGUAAACGGUGGGCGCUAGGUGUGGGUUUCCUUCCACGGGAUCCGUGCCGUAGCUAACGCAUUAAGCGCCCCGCCUGGGGAGUACGGCCGCAAGGCUAAAACUCAAAGGAAUUGACGGGGGCCCGCACAAGCGGCGGAGCAUGUGGAUUAAUUCGAUGCAACGCGAAGAACCUUACCUGGGCUUGACAUAUACAGGAUCGCGCCAGAGAUGGUGUUUCCCUUGUGGCUUGUAUACAGGUGGUGCAUGGUUGUCGUCAGCUCGUGUCGUGAGAUGUUGGGUUAAGUCCCGCAACGAGCGCAACCCUUGUCUUAUGUUGCCAGCACGUUGUGGUGGGGACUCGUAAGAAACUGCCGGGGUUAACUCGGAGGAAGGUGGGGAUGACGUCAAAUCAUCAUGCCCCUUAUGUCCAGGGCUUCACACAUGCUACAAUGGUCGGUACAGUGGGUUGCCAGUCCGUGAGGGCGAGCUAAUCCCGCAAAGCCGGUCUCAGUUCGGAUCGGGGUCUGCAACUCGACCCCGUGAAGUCGGAGUCGCUAGUAAUCGCAGAUCAGCAACGCUGCGGUGAAUACGUUCCCGGGCC